CCUACGGGUGGCUGCAGUGAGGAAUAUUGGACAAUGGAUGGAAAUCUGAUCCAGCCAUGCCGCGUGCAGGAAGACGGCCCUAUGGGUUGUAAACUGCUUUUGUGUGGGAGCAAUAAGGUCUAUGCGUAGACUGAUGAGAGUACCAUACGAAUAAGCAUCGGCUAACUCCGUGCCAGCAGCCGCGGUAAUACGGGGGAUGCAAGCGUUAUUCGGAUUUAAGGGGUUUUAGGGGUGCUGAGAAGGCUGCGGAGAAAUAUUUCAGCUUAACUGAAAGGGUGCCGUUGAUACUGUCAGGCGUGAAUAUGGUUGCUGUGGGUGGAAUGUGUGGUGUAGCGGUGAAAUGCUUAGAUAUCACACAGAAUAUCGAUUGCGAAGGCAGCUCACAAAGCCAUUAUUGACGCUGAUGCACGAAAGUGUGGGGAUCAAACAGGAUUAGAUACCCCAGUAGUC
rnacentral:rRNA from 1 species